rnacentral:rRNA from 1 species
CGCGUAGGAAUCUGCCUUGAAGCGGGGGACGAACCCGAGGAAACUCGGGCUAAUACCGCAUAAUCUCGAGAGAGCAAAGCUGGGUGGUAACACCUGGCACUUCAAGAGGAGCCUGCGUCCGAUUAGCUAGUUGGUAGGGUAAAAGCCUACCAAGGCGAUGAUCGGUAGCUGGUCUGAGAGGAUGAUCAGCCACACUGGGACUGAGACACGGCCCAGACUCCUACGGGAGGCAGCAGUGGGAAUAUUGGACAAUGGGGGCAACCCUGAUCCAGCAAUGCCGCGUGUGUGAAGAAGGCCUUA